rnacentral:misc_RNA from 1 species
GCUAAGUCAAAUUUUAUUACCUUAUAACGCACCGAAAUAACGGACAAACAACGAACGGUCCGUUACACCCAAAAGCCAAAGAUUCCGUUGAAUAGUUGUUUCUGUCCCUCUCAUCAUGUCCUUGUGCAAUAGCUUUGUUUCAUGUCUGUUUCAUCAUCUUUGAGAUCCCACCCUCCCCUCUAGGGUAGAAUUCAAGCAAAUCCAAAUCGAAAUUCAGCCUUCAGUUCGGAGUUAGAAGAUGGAAAACAACAACUGCAGCUUUAUCUCAUGCGAUAAGCUGGAUCGUGUGGCCAACUGGGUGGGGAGCAACGUGGCCUCCGCAUUCUUCGCUUCCCUCGAACGCUGCUCUUGCAUCAACCUCAAUACCACCGACCUCGACGAUGACGACGAAGAGGCCAAGGAUCGACCUCUCAUGCUCUCCAAGCCCACUGUCCACGAUAACCCCGACGCCUAUCUCACCGCCGCCGCCUCCACCAACUCCGUUGCCCAUUAGUUCACUGUUUGAUGAUAAUAAUUAUGAUUAUCCAUCAUAUAGGGUUCGUUUCCUUUUGUGCCUCUUUCUACAAAAUACUCCUGCAUAUAAAUGUGAUGAGUUAUCCUAGAAAGUGUCCUGGGCUGCAUUUUGUUGUUCUUAAUUAAUUAAUUAAUCAAUCAAGCAACAUUUACGUUUUUAUAGAAAUUUGGGGGCUUUUAAUGUAAAUAUUUCUCUGAGACUAAUCGUGGUUCGUGGGUUCUCUCUGAAAUUGAUGCUUGAUUGCUCUUUCUUGGGAUGAGAAUGAGGUUCGAUUUCCCUUCUAUGGGGAUAAUUUAGCCAUAUUGUUUUGGAUGCACCUAAGACUGUCAUAAGAUUUCUAAGCUGCUUUCUUUGUAGGGGAAUUUUCUAUUCAUUUGCAGCAGUGGCACAUGAAUAUGUUUAGCUAUUUGAAAUGUACUAUCCAAAACGUCUAUUGGUUUUGCCUUAUAAUCAUAUGAUGUGGGGGAGGAUGAUUUCAAUAAGAUAAAUGGCCAUAUGACAACCGUUUUACAUUUGUCACAAGCCUCCACCAUGGACUGUAAUAGAAUCUAGAUUCAUAUCGAUUUAAUCAUGCAAAUGCAGAAUUAUCUUGCCUCUGUGCCUGUACAAGUUGAAAUGAGCAUGCCUGUGAAUCUGUUAUAACUAAUGUUGUAAGAAAUUUAAUUUUUAUUUAGUAUUCUAUAUUGCAUUGUGGCUUAGUAGUCCAAAAAGUACUUUUCACUGCUUCAAAACCAGAUGUCAUCAUUUAGCCUUGUUACCAUAUACUUUUGGAGUGAACUAAGUGCACGUUUCCCUUUAUUUCCAUUUAAUUAUCAUUUUUGAGGCAUUAACCGAGUUGUUGCUGAGCAACAAGGUGCCUGUUUAUUUCCGGUGCUCCCUUUGAAUGGAAGCUGAAAUCAUUAUCAUGCAGGUUCAGUAAGUGGGAUUUUUGUGUGUGGGAUUUUUGCUUUGAAGAGAUUUAAUCCUCACACCUAUGUAGUGUGAACUGAAGUUUUAUGGCCUUGUACUGGUUUUCAUUCUUCAUUCAUCCUGAAGUCCUGCUUUUUCCUGACUUGAUAAUUCAGUAGCCUUAGAUGGAAUUCUGCAGCAAAAUGCAAUUUUAACUGUAUAUAAACUGGUGGAAAUUGGAUAUUUGUUUUGAGCUUGAUAUUUGUCUAGUUUAAGGGUGUUUUUAAUAGAUUGGCUGUGAAGAUUACUACU